rnacentral:rRNA from 14 species
AGCGAAAGCGAGUCUUAAUAGGGCGACUGAGUUAGAUGCAUUAGACCCGAAACCGAGUGAUCUAGGCAUGACCAGGAUGAAGGUAAGGUAACACUUACUGGAGGUCCGAACCCACACCUGUUGAAAAAGGUCGGGAUGAGUUGUGCCUAGGGGUGAAAGGCCAAUCAAACUCGGAGAUAGCUGGUUCUCCGCGAAAUCUAUUUAGGUAGAGCGUCGUGUCUUACCCUGGGGGGUAGAGCACUGUUUGGGCUAGGGGGUCAUCUCGACUUACCAACCCCAUGCAAACUCCGAAUACCUAUGAGUGCGAGCACGGGAGACACAC